rnacentral:rRNA from 1 species
UACGGAGGGUGCAAGCGUUACUCGGAAUCACUGGGCGUAAAGGGCGCGUAGGCCGGCUAAUAAGUCAGAGGUGAAAUACAACGGCUUAACCGUUGAACUGCUUUUGAAACUGUUAGCCUAGAGUGUGGGAGAGGCAGAUGGAAUUGGUGGUGUAGGGGUAAAAUCCGUAGAGAUCACCAGGAAUACCCAUUGCGAAGGCGAUCUGCUGGAACACUACUGACGCUGAGGCGCGAAAGCGUGGGGAGCAAACAGG